GAGACAGCAGCAGCCGCGGUAAUACGGAGGGUGCAAGCGUUAAUCGGAAUUACUGGGCGUAAAGCGCACGCAGGCGGUCUGACAAGUCAGAUGUGAAAUCCCCGGGCUUAACCUGGGAACUGCAUUUGAAACUGUCAGGCUGGAGUCUUGUAGAGGGGGGUGGAAUUCCAGGUGUAGCGGUGAAAUGCGUAGAGAUCUGGAGGAAUACCGGUGGCGAAGGCGGCCCCCUGGACAAAGACUGACGCUCAGGUGCGAAAGCGUGGGGAGCAAACAGGAUUAGAGACCCCGGUAGUCCCUGUCUAUUAUAC
rnacentral:rRNA from 1 species